GGCCAGGGCCCGCCUCAGGCCACCUGGAAACCUCAGGAAAGUCCAGACAUCUGGCCUCUGCUGUCACAGUUCCAAGCAGCACCUCAGUCCGCUGAUUUUGGAAUGCACGCCUUGGGUGCUGGGUUUCUUAACUGGAGGGAAACAAGUGACUGGAUGGACGAGCAUGCUUUUCAGAAAAGAAACAGAAGACCACAACAGAAAACACCAGUACCCCGCCCUGCCAUGAACCCGUAGGACGUGUGACUUCCACAGAAGGGUCCCUCGGCACCAGCACCAUCGAAAUCUUCGCCUCCUGACAGCACGGGCCCUGCUCUCUUCUCUGCGUCACCUUUUCUCCGUGUCACCUUCCCUAAUACGACACUCGAGAGAUUUUUCUUGUCCC
rnacentral:lncRNA from 1 species